UACGGAGGAUCCGAGCGUUAUCCGGAUUUUAUUUGGGUUUAAAGGGUGCGCAGGAGGGAGAUUAAGUCGGCGGUGAAAUUUUGCAGCUCAAACUGUAAAAGUGCCUUCGAUACUGGUUUCCUUGAGUGUGGAUGAAGUAGGCGGAAUUUGUGGUGUAGCGGUGAAAUGCUUAGAUAUCACGAGGAACUCCGAUUGCGCAGGCAGCUUACUAAACUACUACUGACGCUCAGGCACGAAGGCGUGGGGAUCAAACAGGAUUAGAUACCCG
rnacentral:rRNA from 1 species